rnacentral:lncRNA from 1 species
GAAAUGCAGAGACUAUAUCAGGUUGGAAAUGUAUCAAGGAGUUAAUAAAAAAAGCUCAAUGAUCAAACCUUUGAUAUAGCUCUUUUUUUAUUAACAUCUGAUAUUGCUCAAUAUAUCUCUGGAAAUAUAUAUGAUAUUACUCAAAGAGUACCUGAUGGUAGAUACUCACAACAGUAAAAAAAUGGCCCUAUCUACAUGCCAUUGGCGCAUUUGUUAUACAAUGUGACAUGAAACACCUGAGCAAGGUCUGGUAUGAUAGAAACCAAAAAGCAGGCCAUAGUAUUAGUCCCAGAUAACUUAUUUACAAUGUUUUUCAUAUUGCACAACAAACUACUCUCUCCGUAAAGAAAUAUAAGAACGUUUAGAUCACCAAAGUAGUACAUGGUUGGCUAUUGGAUAUAUAACUUUAUCCACACGCCUUCAUCCAAUUUGCUUGAUAUAUAACUUUCUCCACACUCCUUCUUUUGAUUUGCAUGCAUGUUGUGAUGCACGGAUCUGCUAAAGGACAUGUCGUGUUAGGCAAACUAUUCAAAUAGCGCGUCUCAUGGACAGGGAGAAAAUAAUUUGGUCUAUAUGAAGGAGAAUCACUCUGGAUAAUACACAGUGAUUUGGAUACAGUAUAGCCUUUUAACAUAAAAGAAUAUAUAAGAUAAAAUUAGAAUUAUUUUAUCUUAGCAUUUUGCAUGGCCUACAAUGGGCGACAGAUAAGAAUCACAAACCUAUGGUGACACAAGAAGCCUCUGAAGCAAAGAAGGCGGCUCAACGGUGACUUGGAAAGUGAGAGAGGCGGAGCGCUGGCCUACAUCUCCCCAGGCUCUGCCUGGUGCCCAUCAAUAAGGUAAGAGUCCAUGAAACCACACAUAAUUAUUUUCGCAUGCGAAGUGACAACACAAAUAACCAUGGGAUCUUAUUUUCUACAAAAGGAUCAACAAUUAGAAUGCCAGAUUUGGCAACAACAUAAUACAUACUUCCAUAUCGGAGACAUAAAUUUCUUAAUUCUUAAACAAUGCGGUUCUAAAAUGUUUUAUCUAUCAACAACAUAGUAUUAGUGGUUGUGCUUUCAGCAAUAUAAACAAUUAGAGACAUGCAACAAUGGUACAUACACAUGAUACAGUAAAAGAGCCUAGAAAAGAAAUCAAUUCGAGUCACAGAACGAAGGUAGAGAAACCUCACCGACUGAGGUAGGUAUACAUAUGCUCAACUCAACCGGACAGAGACGCAACAUAAGUUAUUUUUUGUGAAAAACACAACAGAAGCUGAAUAAAGUAACAGAAGGAACCAGUAGAUAACUUUAUUGGUACCCAGCAUAUAUGGUUCAAUUUUCUUUCAACUAAAAUAUAUAUGCAAAGGUGAGUCUAGUUACCUUGCACUAAUUUGACAGAAAUGAGUUUUGCUUCCCACGAAAACACAUACAUGAACAUAAUUAGUGCAAGUCCAGUGCAUGAUUAAUUUUAUUUCAAGUACACCAUAGAAAUAAAGUACUAUCUCAAGGUUCUUGGUUUGUAUGAUUGUCAUCAUGUGUUCAAUUAACAUAUCUUGGGUCUAAUAGUAACCAUGUCUCUACUAAAUCUAGCCACAAUGCCCUGGACAUAUAUAAAGAUGCACACAAGACAAAAGAUAGUACUCGGCGUACAUAAGGACCUUGAUCGCCGUUGUGCCUUCCUGUUGCCUUUGACUUGAUCAAAGGCCAGCAAAGAAGCAACAAAGACAAUGGCAGUGGCGGAGGCGGUGGUAUCCAGUCAUCGGCAGACGGGGAGGCCUCCACCGGCGCCGUGGCCGGUGGUGUUUCCCUUUUGGGCUAUCUCGAUGCCACGGUCCUCACUGGUCACUAUAGAGUAGUGGCAUGAGCGGCGGCCUACACAACCCUUCCAGCAAUGGCGGCGGGAGACACAACGUCAACCAACAAACCAAAACGUUGGGAGAGGCGGUCACAGAGAGAGACGGCAUGGUGGCGAUCU